rnacentral:rRNA from 1 species
UACGUAGGGUGCGGGCGUUGUCCGGAAUUAUUGGGCGUAAAGAGCUUGUAGGCGGUUUGUCGCGUCUGCUGUGAAAAUCCGGGGCUCAACCCCGGACUUGCAGUGGGUACGGGCAGACUAGAGUGUGGUAGGGGAGACUGGAAUUCCUGGUGUAGCGGUGAAAUGCGCAGAUAUCAGGAGGAACACCGGUGGCGAAGGCGGGUCUCUGGGCAGUAACUGACGCUGAGGAGCGAAAGCGUGGGGAGCGAACAGG